rnacentral:rRNA from 1 species
AGUGAACGCUGGCGGUAGGCCUAACACAUGCAAGUCGAACGGCAGCACAGUAAGAGCUUGCUCUUACGGGUGGCGAGUGGCGGACGGGUGAGGAAUACAUCGGAAUCUACUUUUUCGUGGGGGAUAACGUAGGGAAACUUACGCUAAUACCGCAUACGACCUACGGGUGAAAGCAGGGGAUCUUCGGACCUUGCGCGAUUGAAUGAGCCGAUGUCGGAUUAGCUAGUUGGCGGGGUAAAGGCCCACCAAGGCGACGAUCCGUAGCUGGUCUGAAAGGAUGAUCAGCCACACUGGAACUGAGACACGGUCCAGACUCCUACGGGAGGCAGCAGUGGGGAAUAUUGGACAAUGGGCGCAAGCCUGAUCCAGCCAUACCGCGUGGGUGAAGAAGGCCUUCGGGUUGUAAGGCCCUUUUGUUGGGAAAGAAAAGCAGCAGGUUAAUACCCCGCUGUUCUGACGGUACCCAAAGAAUAAGCACCGGCUAACUUCGUG